UCUCUCACCUAAUCUUACUUAAUCUUACUUGAGACAUGUACAGUGUUCACAGGAGAUGAAGCUAGCAAGAGAGGCUAAAGCGGCCUGGGAGGCCAAAUGAGAGAUGAUGAGGUCUGGCCAGGGUGGUGGUGUAGGAACCUGGAAAAGAAUGACUUGGCAAGGGCUGGUUACUGACUUAAUGGGAGGAGCCCAGAAGAGAGAACUCUUUGACAACACAGAAGUCAGAAAGGAGGAAGGCUGGGUUUUCAAUUCCCAGAUGGCGCCAUUAUCUUAGGCGAUGCUUUGGCUCAGUGAACACCAAAUACUAAGGUCAGUCAGCUCAGCCAUUCUGCCUGUUUCUGGGAAUGAGGGUUUUACAUUGCACCCUUCCUAUCUGCCCGCAGUUUUUUAUGCUAGCUGUGAUUUCCUGUAAUUUACAAGGGGGUGGGGCGAUCGAUACGAAGAUAAGGUGGAGUUGACAAUUCGUUUGUCCAUCACAAUGUGUUAAAUAAAUCUGAACAGUCCUGCACUAAAGUUUGACUGGCAGAUCUUAUUCUGGAAAGAGGAGAAAAGGAGAAGGAAGCAUUACAUUUUAAAGGACUGAGGCAGUGUUCUCCUUGCACAAUGAGUCUUCCCCUUCUAGGUGGAGCCUUCCCAACUGCAUUUGGUGAGGGGGGAGGGAUAAGACCAGAAAGUAUCAACCCUGAGAGCCAGUACCAGUUCCUACAGAGAAGAGAGCCCAAGGCUCCUCACCACCUGGCUAUGUAAAAAGUGAGCACAAAGCCAGGAAUGCAGAAUCAACAUUAAUGGGACCAAACUCUGCUUCUGGGUAGGCAGGGUCACAGGAAACGAGUAGUCUGUGUUCCAUGAUGACUCUGCAUGGGGACAGGGGUGUUGCCAAGUGCUUGCCCCAAAGUAGGGCCAUCUGGUGUAUGGCUAUGAGCCGCAGAAGGGCCAGCCUGGUUCCCAGAAAUGAGACUGAGACAGGUGUGGGGUCCUGAGGUAAAAUUAACCCUCCUGUGAACAAAGGCUGUAAAAAAACACUCCAAAGCAAACAUGACAUGGUGUAGGCCAGACAUAAGGAAACCAGCAUCUCAAUCUGAGGCUAAAUUUUAAACGAUAAGCAACCAGACUUCCCUUAACACUUCCUCUUAGGAUUGUUUUUCAGACAAACCAACUAAAACCAGAAUCCCAUACAGGCACAAAAAAACGAUUUGACCACUGGAUGUCCCCAUCCCAUAAUGAGUCCUGCCUAGGAACCAAGAAACUUGUGUCAGGAAACUAACCGCCCCCCCUCAAAAAAAAGCGGAACCUAAUUCAGAAAUGAAAAGUCCUAAAGGAAAAGUCCACACCCACUUCCUUCCUAAGUCUCGGCCCAGCCCCUUUUUUUAAAAAUAUGCAUGCUAUUUCUCAGAAGUGUAAUGAAUAUGUAUAAUUUCCCUGUUACUGCAUAGUAUAAAACUUCUCCCAGCCCUCUGUUCUGGGAAACUGUGGUUUGAGAGUGAUCUCCCUGUCUGCUACUCGUAUAAUUAAACUGUGCCUGCUUUAAAUCCACUUGACUCUUAUUCUUAACAAGAGUACAAGCAGCGGACCUACUGUGCUUGGUAACAGCUCCUCCCUUGGAACCCCAACAGCCUGCUGGACACUGUCAUCCCUUCGCCAUUCCAGACUAGAGAUAUAAGCAGCACAACUACAGCAUGGUGAAAAGUGUGAUUUCUGAAAGGGAAAUUACAGUGUUGGCAAAGAAUACCGAAUAUACCACGGACUGCCGGAAGAACAAACAAAUCUAUCUUGGAAGAAGUACAGCCAGAAUGCUCCUCAGAAGCAAGGAUGGCGAAACUUCAUCUCACGUACUUUGGGCGUGUAAUCAGGAGGGGCCAGUCCCUGGAGAAGGACGUCAUGCUUGGUAGAGGGUCAGCAAAAGACAGAAAGACCCUCAACAAGAUGGACUGACACACUAGCUGUAACAAUGGGCUCCAACAUAGCAAUGAUUGUGAGGAUAGCGCAGGACUGGGCAGUGUUUCGUUCUGUGGUACACAGGGUCGCUAUGAAUCAAAACUGACACCUAACUAACAACAGGGUGGGCCAAAUGAUUCUCAAGCCCAUUUUGACAAGUCCUGUUUGGGGGCAUUCUAGGAUACUUCUGAAGCCACUGCAAGGUCUGGGAACACAGACCACUAGAUGGUGAUGGCUAAUUCCCCUGCACUGCUAAUGGGACAAUCACUUUCGGUCAUAGGCACCGCAUGUUAAGAAAGCUAUUGACAGAAUGGAGUGGAGUGAAAUGGGAAUUCUGAGACGUUACCACUGAGAGGUCUCACACACACGUGCAUCUGACUACAGGACCGCCUUUUCCAUGACCUGCAUGUAUAUUUGCCCCCAAUCCUUCCCAUCUGAAAUAACCUGGCUAGAAUUUGCCUCAAAAAAGACACUGAUUUCUAUGGGAAAAAAAAACUGCCCCAGACAGAUACACUGCAUGUUAAUGAUCAAAUUCAGAUAUCCUACUAAUAAAAACUUCUUCAGUGGAAAAGGCUGAGAAGAGUUCCUUUUAAACAAUGUGUGCCCUUUAAAAGUGCCAACACCAAGCAUGUUCCCUAGGCCUUUCCAGUUGUUUGUAUGUUGAAUAAAGAUGCAUUUACUUGAAGCUUUUGACUUUCUGUGUUUUCCUCAGAGAGUACCAAUGUGAGCUCACCAAUUCAGUCCUUCCUCUUGGCUUAAAUUAUCUAUUUCAAUUGUAUUACUACCCAAGAAGGAUGGCUCAAAGCUCGGAAACAGUUUCAAUAAUUUAAUUAAGUUGUGCAAAAAUGCUGAUGCUUUCUUGGGCACCAGCCUGACCUCUUCCCUUUUUUCCCUUUUCUGUCUCGGAGGGUUCCUGGCUGUGGCCUCCCCUUGCGGUGGGACCUCCUCUAUUCCCUGACUUCCACAGUGUCUCUACCCUACAGAGGCCACACAAUGUGUGGCCAAGAGCUCAAGCUGCCUGGUUCCAAUGCUUACCAGCUGUGCCACCCUAGGCAAGUUUUUGAUCCUCUUCUGGCAUCAAUCUCCACAACUGUAAAAUGGGUAUAAUAUAAGCAACCUACUUCAGAAUAGCUGUGAGGAUUAAAUAAACUAAUGCAUUCAAAGCACUCAGAACAGUGCCUGGCACAUAAAAAGCAUUCAAUACAUGUUAGCUAUUACUAUCAAAUCAGCCUACCAUAUAAUACUGAGAGUUUUGCAUGAAUCCAGAGCUGAAUGCUGUUCAUAGCAGUUACCAUUCAUUGUAAGUACAUUCAAUCCUCACAAUAGCCAUGUAAGCUCUACAAAACCGGAAUUAUUACUCCAUUUUAGAGAUCACUGAAAGCUUAAGGACACUUCCUGCUAAAGGAAAAGGAACCAGCCCAGCCAUCACGGUCAUUUACAUAUCAGUCUCCCUCACAAGGAGGUCAAAGGCCCUCAUUCAUCUCUGUAUCCUCCCCCCUCCACACACACAAGAGCAGGUGCUCAAUCAGUGUUGAAUUGGAUUGACUGUAGGGUUGCCAUGAUGUAAACAGAAGAACCUCAGCCUCAUGUUGAGGAGCUCCGGGAUGAAUCAGAAUCCAUCACUCUGGGACGUUCUUGAAUGCAGAGACAAGAAGCCACCUUGCCCAGUCCUAACUCAACUUAUUCCAGGAGGAAAAGGAGCAUGUGCAGAAGGGGAGCAGCCGGAGGUGACUUAGAGGGAAAUGGCAGGACUGUUCCUGCACAACCUCUGAGGCAGCAGGGAAUCAGGAUAAUAUAACAGGGCAUUACCCAAGCCCCUCCUGUUGGGCCAAACGGGGAUCUAUAAACACAGUGUUUCAAAGCAGAUAAUGCUGCCUUUGCUAAAGGAAAUGGAAGCUGCCUUCCAGUAGAGUGCGGGCCAGUCUAUAAAUACCAGGAUUAAAAGGCUUCCUGCAGGGCCCAACUGCCACCUGCCUAAAUACAGAGGCUAUCUGGGCCUCCAGGACCCAAACAAACCACCAGGAACCUCCCUCAGGGAAGAGCUGCCAUCAUUCAAUAGCACCCCACUACCCCACAAGUGGUACCCUAACCUCUUUUUCUGAUCCACUUUGAUUUCUUGUUAACCAACCUCUCCUUUCCAUACUCUUCACCAGAACCAUCCCACUCCACUUCGGCUCCAACCUGGCCUGCCCUCCUCUCUCCAGGGAUUUGCUCCCUAACUUCCUAAUCCACAUAUAUUUUACCCACCAUGAAAAAAAAAAAAACACAGGUUUUGCAAUCACCCCUACUUU